GUCUGAGCUGCUUCUGCAUGCCUUCCUUCUCCUGGGAGGAGCGUAAAGAUGGGCGGAGUGCUUCCCUGAAGUUGGGAGUCUCUGAGCGUAUGCAGAGCACCUCCCCUUGCUUGGCCUGAUGGAAGUGGACCUUGGCUUGAAGUCCGAAUA